AUGGUCAGAGAAAACCUUUUUAUGAUAAUCACUGCUUUCAUCUUAAUAGUUUGUGUGGUAUGUUCUCCUGUCAUUCAGCAGUCCCCCAAACAUCUUCUACAAACAGUAGAGGAGAAAGAUGCAAAGCUUUUUUGUCGUCACGGUGACAACAACUAUCAGUACCUGUACUGGUAUCAACAGAAAAGCAAUGGAGGUUCUUUGGAGCUUAUUGGAAUGCUCAAUUACGGCACAGCUUCUCACGAGGAUAAAUUCAAACCUCGAUUUAACAUCACAGGAAAUGCAAAAGAGGAUGCAUUCCUGCUCAUAUCCCGCAUAUCUGUUGAGGACACUGCAGUAUAUUUCUGCGCAGCUAAUGAUUAUGGGGUGGGGGAUCCCAUCUGCUUGCAUUGGAGGAGGAACCAGAACUACAUUAGCGACUAUCGCAGACACUGGGGAGUGGCCUCUUUUGACUUGGACCAAUAA